rnacentral:rRNA from 1 species
UAUGCACGCUGGCGGCGUGCCUAAUACAUGCAAGUCGAGCGAACAGACGAGGAGCUUGCUCCUCUGACGUUAGCGGCGGACGGGUGAGUAACACGUGGAUAACCUACCUAUAAGACUGGGAUAACUUCGGGAAACCGGAGCUAAUACCGGAUAAUAUAUUGAACCGCAUGGUUCAAUAGUGAAAGACGGUUUUGCUGUCACUUAUAGAUGGAUCCGCGCCGCAUUAGCUAGUUGGUAAGGUAACGGCUUACCAAGGCGACGAUGCGUAGCCGACCUGAGAGGGUGAUCGGCCACACUGGAACUGAGACACGGUCCAGACUCCUACGGGAGGCAGCAGUAGGGAAUCUUCCGCAAUGGGCGAAAGCCUGACGUAGCAACGCCGCGUGAGUGAUGAAGGUCUUCGGAUCGUAAAACUCUGUUAUUAGGGAAGAACAAAUGUGUAAGUAACUAUGCACGUCUUGACGGUACCUAAUCAGAAAGCCACGGCUAACUACGUG